ACGCGAGGAACCUUACCAGGUCUUGACAUCCUCUGACACUCCUAGAGAUAGGACGUUCCCCUUCGGGGGACAGAGUGACAGGUGGUGCAUGGUUGUCGUCAGCUCGUGUCGUGAGAUGUUGGGUUAAGUCCCGCAACGAGCGCAACCCUUGUUCUUAGUUGCCAUCAUUUAGUUGGGCACUCUAAGGAGACUGCCGGUGACAAACCGGAGGAAGGUGGGGAUGACGUCAAAUCAUCAUGCCCCUUAUGACCUGGGCUACACACGUGCUACAAUGGAUGGUACAAAGGGCAGCAAAGCGGUGACGCCUAGCAAAUCCCAUAAAACCAUUCUCAGUUCGGAUUGUAGGCUGCAACUCGCCUACAUGAAGCUGGAAUCGCUAGUAAUCGCGGAUCAGCAUGCCGCGGUGAAUACGUUCCCGGGCCUUGCACACACCGCCCGU
rnacentral:rRNA from 1 species